rnacentral:rRNA from 1 species
UCGGGAAUUUUGGGCAAUGGGUGAGAGCCUGAUCCAGCCAUGCCGCGUGCAGGAAGAAGGCGUUAUGCGUUGUAAACUGCUUUUUGCCAGGGGAUAAAAAGACCGUGCGCGGUUAAUUGAAGGUACCUGGUGAAUAAGCCACGGCUAACUACGUGCCAGCAGCCGCGGUAAUACGUAGGUGGCAAGCGUUGUCCGGAUUUAUUGGGUUUAAAGGGUGCGUAGGUGGCCCUGUAAGUCAGUGGUGAAAUAUCUCAGCUUAACUGAGAGGGUGCCAUUGAUACUGCAGGGCUUGAGUACAGAUGAGGUAGGCGGAAUUGACGGUGUAGCGGUGAAAUGCAUAGAUAUCGUCAAGAACACCGAUAGCGAAGGCAGCUUACCAAGCUGUAACUGACACUGAGGCACGAAAGUGUGGGGAUCAAACAGGAUUAGAUACCCUUGUAGUCCCUGAGCGGGCUGGCAAGGCGCAU